UGUCUAAAAACCUAAAAAUACUUGAAAUUUCUUGACAGUUCAUACAAUUAUAAAGAUGAUUGAUGAAAAAUUCAAUUGUUUGAAUCAAAAUUUUAACGCAUUAUCAUUUAGUCAAUUUUGGUUUUAGAGCUAUAUGGUAAAAAGGAUCAAAUUGACUCAAAAGACUAGAUCUAUCCAAAUUAUUGUGUCAGCCGCUCAGAAUGGAUGAACGUUAUUGCUGGCCAAUAAUAAUAAACGACGUUGUAUUCGUUGUCAGGGGGUUUCUAGGGUACCAAAAUAAUAUUCCGAUCGAAUUGAUUCGCAUUUGCAAAUUUGAGACGUUUACGCAUUAAGUUUGAACAUUAAAAAAAAAACUCAAUAAAAUGGAUUUUUUAGGUCUGACGAUAAUAUCAUUUACUACCGAUAAAGUUUUAGAUAUUAAAGACACCACAUCAACACCACAAUCGCUACCACGAGCGGCAGAAACGUGACGGAAAGUUUGCUGGCUCUAACCCUCGGGGUCGUUGAUACGGCAGACGCCGUCGGCGAGGACGGCGAAUGCGAUGCAAACGCUAUUUUGGAAAAAUAUGUGGGAGAAAUACCAGCUGCGCAACAACUAGCCCCCCGCGAACGACAAGAGAAAAAAGAACAAGAAUUGAUUGUAUCGAUGAGCCGAUCGUUGCAUGGCGGCGGAGACGCGCCGGAAGGUUUGUCAGCGCCAACCCUGGUGGCCAUUGAUAUCUUCGAUACGGCAGAAGCCGUCGUCGAGGACGAGCCAAAAGGCGAAUGCGAUGCAAACGCUAUUUUGAAAAAAGAUGCGGGAGAAAUACUGGCUGCGCAACAACUAGCCAACCGCGAACGACAAGAGAGAAAAGAAAAAGAAUUGAUUGUAUCGAUGAGCCGAUCGUCGCAUGGCGACCUUUUGAUCAGUAAUAACUGUAAUAAGUAAUAACGAAUUACCUUUUUUCUCUUGUCGUUCGCGGUUGGCUAGUUGUUGCGCAGCCAGUAUUUCUCCCGCAUCUUUUUUCAAAAUAGCGUUUGCAUCGCAUAAUAUAGUUAAACUUUCGAUAUUUUUUAACUCCUGUGUAGCUAAAUUAACAAUAAUAAAAAUAAAAAAAUACUAAACUUUUCAAAAGAAAAUUAAAAAAUUACAUUUACUCGACCAUGCAAUACUUCCUAGUUCCUGAUAUAAUAUUUUGAAUUUUUUCAUUCAAACAAAACGCUCGAGAAAUAGAUUGAUAUUAUGCAGUUAGAUGAAAACACCUACAAAGUGUGUAACAAUGGAAUAACAUAGAAAAAUUCAAUAAAACGCAAAGUAAAAGUUUACUUUUGAUGUAUCUGUCGCAUGAAACGAAUUACGUAAGAAAUUUAAAUACAUUUUCCAGAUCACACACAAAAUUUAAUGCACUUCGCAUCUUGAAAUCCGAGCUUCUCGUAGUAAUAAUAAUAAUGGUCUGCGACGGACGAACUGAAUGUUAUAUUAUAUAACUACAACGUUUUUAUCGUAUUUAUCACCGAUUCAGUGUAUUCACGACUUAUAUUACAACUCGAGUUGCAGGAUCCUCUUAACUAUAAUGAAGUCAACUGAGUUGGCAUUUUGUAAUAAUAUGAAGUCGGAGUUUGCGUCUCGACUAUUAUUUGAAUUCGUACGAAAAACUCUGAUAGCGCUAUCGUGACGACACGGUGGGUCUCGGUCCGCCCGUCCUUUAUGUGAUAACUACCUCGGACCUACGUAUCGUCGUCAUCGUUUCAGUUCGGCGGCAGCAGCUGUGCGACAUAUUAUAUAAACAAAACUACCCUUUUUCGUUCUAGUUUACGUAUUAUACUGUAUAAUAUACUACAUAUAAUGAUAACAAUAUAAAAUACAGUAUAAAUAGAUAGGUAGGUACCUACCGCGGGUCCGCGAGAUAUGGCGUUUCGUCCGAGCGAUAGGACGGCAAAAACGUUAAUUAAAACAAAACCCAGACAAAGACAACGACUACCAACGAACAUUUGCAUUAUUAUUAUUAAACGGAUAAAAAGAAAACCAUCCUUUGAAGAUGUCAAAGAUGCCAAAAAAAGCGAAAAAACGUCGUGAAAAAGCAUAGGCGAAUAAAUAGACCGCACACAAGGCGGUGUCCGUCCGUCUACCGCAGUUACUACGGUAACCUUUGAAUAAUAUAUCAUCGGUCGGUUGGUCGGCGGGUUAUUACGUUUUGUUUCCAACGAAUUAUGCGAACGGUGUGUUUUUUAUUGUAUAUUUAUGCGCUAUUUGCACGUAUAUAAUGUUGAUAUAUAUGUAUAUAUAUAGGUGUAUAUACCUGUACAUUUAUACUGAA